AGCCGGGGUUGGCUGGAAGAUGUUAUAAAAGGCCAAGUCGGAGGCGUCGUUCUUCCUUUUGCUCCUUCUUAUCUGUGUCUGGGUGGUUGGACGGAGUUGAGGGUAUGAAUGUGGGACAUUGGAGAAGAGGCCAGAAAUGGUUUGCAGAUUGGACUGCUCUUACUGUCUUAACGUGCUGGGAACAAAACAGGUGACCUGACUGGCAGUGUGAAUGCCCUGAUGGAAAAAGAAGUUGGAAUGGCAUUGUGUGUCUGCAAGUCAGAAAUUUGCCUUCCCGUGGAGGUCUGUAAAGUCCUGUUCAGAGCUCAGAGAUCAUCUGGAGCCAUUCAGUGCGUGGAAUGGAUGUCCUGUUGCAACCAGCAAGGCUAGCAGUCAGUUCUGCAAGGGAGUGGAGAUGCAGUAAUUUGAACUUACAUUCUCCUUCGGAAGAGGAUUCCUAAGUAGAAUACGUGGUUGCGAUGAUAUCUUAAGAAUGACUUUGAAGGCACCUCAGCAGGCUUCCAAGGACACUGAAGAAGUAGAGUGAUCUACAAAGAAGUGUCUUGAGGUUCUCCGUGAAGAAAAUGGUUGUGUUUUCUGUAAUUGUGUUGAAUUAAAAGAAUUUUGUUUAU